GAGAGUACAUUGUUUGGAAGGAAAGGCAAAGGCGUGACAAGAAGCACAGGAGUUGUGGGACUCUCUUCGCAGAAGAGAUGACACUUGGUUUGGGAUAGCAACGUGAACCAAGUGUCAAUCUUCUGCGAUGAGAUACCCUAUAACUUCUUUUUUAUAAUUUUCUUCUUCAUAGUAAAGUUAGCCCGCACAAGAUGGAUAGGUGAUGGUUGGAUUGAAUAUCUUAACACAGCUUGUGAAGUGACUAUCUCGUUGGGCUUGUGAGGUCUACCACAAAUUGCAUUUUAAUGAUUCAAUUCGAGCAUUUUGCAUUUGCAAUGGCGUUAGAAGGUGGACCAUCGUCAAGGUGCCCAUUUGUGUGGUUUCCUGUCAAACAACAGUAGGGUUGACCAUCAGCCUUCAGGCAGGACGGGUGAUCAAGAGGGCAUUGAGUUUGACUUGGGAGCUAGCCGUAAAACUUGUGAAGGAAGGAUCAAUGUGAACUGUUUUUUGAAUUAUUUUGGGGGUAGUUCUUCAUAUUUUAGAUCUAUUUUUUUAAUAAAUGCAUUUAAAAUGUAAAAUAUAUAUAAAAAAAUUCUAAAAGUUCAAAUAAAAUAGAAAUAUGGAAAUUUAUCCAAACACCCCCUUCUUGUUUCUCUAAACCCUUAUAACAGCAAAAUAGAGAGUUCCCUCCAACAAAACAGAGUUCCCUGCAGUCCCACUAGCCAUUACCAUUUGUUUAAGCUUCAAAAAUUUAUGGCUCAGUUGAGUUCCAUCCAGGAUGCACUUGAUGGCAUGAAAAACUGGGCUAGGGAGCACAGACACGAUGGAGUUUGCCGGGUGCCGUGGGUUGGUGAGUGCAGGGCCACAAAGGUGAAUACAAAUUUUAUGUUGACAACACACAUUGCCCAGCCGCCCCCCAACCAAUAUCCUUCCACCAAGUCCAAAAUUCUUCCAAAGUCACGAGCCUCCCUCCCCAUGCCUUUCUUUGUUUGAUUUUAUUAUCAAUAUAUGGAUUAUUGCUUAUUAUGAUCAGAUACAGUUAAGACUCCAAUGUACUGAACUUGAACUAAAGAUGACUAAUGCAGAGACACAAGCACACCCAAACACAAUCCACAGUUGUAUCAAUAAGACUUCAGUGACAGAAAGAACAAAACAAAUCAGAGCAAACUAACCCUUGGCAAUGAAUCCAAAGUUUAUGUUGACAACAUUAUCAUAAUGGCUAGUGUGAAUAAUGUCAACAAAAAUAUAUAUAUAUAUAAAAUUAUCUAAAGAACUUUUGCCA